AACUCGACUGCAUGAAGCUGGAAUCGCUAGUAAUCGCGAAUCAGAAUGUCGCGGUGAAUACGUUCCCGGGUCUUGUACACACCGCCCGUCACACCAUGGGAGCCGACAACGCCCGAAGUCAGUGACCUAACCGAGAGGGAGGAGCUGCCGAAGGCGGGGUUGGUAACUGGGGUGAAGUCGUAACAAGGUACC
rnacentral:rRNA from 1 species